UUUCCGGGACUGUGACGGGGAAGGCGGAGCGCUGGAGCGGCUGAUGGACGACGUCCAGGCGGAUGGCCUCACUGGGCUGUUUGUGGAGAGGCCCGUCGGGGGGCAGUGGGUACUCUCGCCUGGCUGCUUCCUGUUUUUGUGGAGAGGGCUGCCCAGGUUUCUUACACGUGGACACCAGACGCACAGCUGUUGAACAUACUUCUCUUCUCAACAGUCUAUUUUAGAGGUAAGGAGACUGAGGCUCAGAGUGGUUAGGCAACCUGCUCUGAGUUCACCAGCUAGCGAGCAGCAGAGCCAGAACACCCCCAACAGGCUGCUCCGAAGGACUCAACGCUCCUGAGGAAUGACUGAGGGCCCUGUUUCCACCCCGCACAGCGCUGCUCCCUACCUGCAAGAGCUCUGCGGCGGCGUCUGCUAGCCCAAACUCCCUCAACACGCGGAUCUGGAUCUCGUAGCUGACGGUGGCGCCCUCCCCGCAGUUCAGUGCGUAGGCCCGCUGCACCUGCUCGGUGUGCCGGAGCUCCUGCAGGCGCCUGACCAUGUCCUUCAUCGUGAGCAGCCGAGGGACUACACGGAGCCAGCCAGAGCAGGCAAGACACAGACGUUACACAAGCCCACCCGAGAGCACAGAACAGUUUUAACUAGCAUGUGUUUCGCAUCAGAAUCGCUUACAAUAAUUAUGAAAGUAUUUUAAUUUCUUGGCAACUUGAUAAUUUGUGUGCAUCUGAUUAAAAAAUAAAUUAUUAUGUUGUUGACAAUA